AGACUUCCCCAGCAGGGGAAAAGCAUGAUCAUGCAGGUGCGUUUCCCAGUUCUAGACCCACCCAUUGCACUCUGGGUGUUGCUGACCUUUUUCAUUUCCUCAAAUGUGGGAGACUUGGUUACAUGAUUUAUGGUAGUGGGGACUGUGUUCGUUUUCUUCUCUU
ensembl:snRNA U1 U1 spliceosomal RNA